rnacentral:lncRNA from 1 species
GAUGGCCCUCCUGACAACUUCGGACAGCACCCUCCCCGCGGAAGCCCGGGGACGGGGACGGCAAAGGAGACUCGUUUGGACCCCGAGCCAAAGGGAGGCCCUGCGAGGCUGCUUUGAGAGGAACCCGUAUCCUGGCAUGGCCACCAGUGAACGGCUGGCCCAGGCCAUCGGCAUUCCAGAGUCCAGGGUCCCGAUUUGGUUUCACAAUGAGAGGUCACGCCAGCUGAGGCAACAUCGGCGGGAAUCUUGGCCCUGGCCCGGAAGACGGGGCCCGCAAGAAGGCAGGCGAAAGCGGACCGCCGUCACAAGACCCCGAAACACCCUGCUCCUCUGAGCCUUUGAGAAAGAUCGCUUUCCAGGCAUCGCCGCCAGGUAAGAGCUGGCCAGAAAGACGGGCCUCCCAGAGUCCAGGAUUCAGAUCUGGUUUCAGAAUCAAAGGGUGAGGUACCUGGGACAGCCUGGUAGGGCGCCCGCCCAGGCAGGCGGGCUGUGCAACGCAGCCCCCGGCGCGUGUCACCCUGCUCCUUCGUGGGUCGCCUUCGCCCACACUAGCGUGUUUGGAACAGGGCUUCCCACACCCAAAGUGCCCUGAGCACCUGUGGCUCUCCAACAGGGGGCUUUCGUGAGCCAGGGAGCAAGGGACGUCCCCGUGCUCCAGUCCAGCUUGGCCGCACCGGCAUAGGGGAUCUCCCAACCUGCCCUGGCUUGUAGGGGUUUUUCCUGUGCCUCCCCGGGUCCUCCGUAAGGAACGCUUUCCCAGCCUCAGGCUCCUCGGUGGCCUCCGCACCCGGGCAAAAGCCGAGAGGACUGGGACCCGCAGAGCGACGGCCUGCCGGGCCCUUGUGCAGUGGGACAGCCUGGGCCCGCUCAAGCGGGGCCACAAGGCCAAGGUGUGCUUGCAUCACCUGCGUCCCAGGGGAGUCCGCGGUGGGGCUGGUGCCGGGGUCCCCAGGUCACCGGGGCGGCGUGGGAACCCCACGCCGGGGUAGCUCCACCUCGCCAGCCCGCGCCCCCGGAGGCCUCCGAGUGGCAGGGGCAGAUGCAAGGCAUCCGGGCGCCUUCCCAGGCGCUCCAGGAGCCGGGGCGCUCGUCUGCACUCCCCUCCGGCCUGCUGCAGGAUGAGCUCCUGGCGAGCCCGGAGUUUCUGCAGCAGGAGCAACCUUUCCUAGAAACGGAGGCCCCGGGGGAGCUGGAGGCCUUGGAAGAGGCCGCGUCGCUGGAAGCACCCCUCAGCAAGGAAGAAUACCAGGUUCUGCUGGAGGAGCUU